rnacentral:rRNA from 1 species
GAUCAUGGCUCAGGAUGAACGCUAGCGACAGGCCUAACACAUGCAAGUCGAGGGGCAGCGGAGAGGUAGCAAUACCUUUGCCGGCGACCGGCGCACGGGUGAGUAACACGUAUGCAAUCUACCUGUAACAGAGGGAUAACCCGGAGAAAUCCGGACUAAUACCUCAUAGCACAUAUUAUUCGCAUGAAUUUUAUGUUAAAGAGACUCGGUUACAGAUGAACAUGCGUUCCAUUAG